UACCCUUGUCUUUUGCGCACUUGUUGUUUCCUGGGCGGGUUCGCUCGCCACCAGGACCACAAUAUAAACCUUUUUUAUGCAGUUGCAAUCAGCGUCAGUAUAACAAAUGUAAAUCAUUUACAACUUUCAACAACGGAUCUCUUGGUUCUGGCAUCGAUGAAGAACGCAGCGAAAUGCGAUACGUAGUGUGAAUUGCAGAAUUCAGUGAAUCAUCGAAUCUUUGAACGCACAUUGCGCCCUUUGGUAUUCCAAAGGGCAUGCCUGUUCGAGCGUCAUUUGUACCCUCAAGCUUUGCUUGGUGUUGGGCGUUUUUUUUGUCUUUGGUUUGCCCAAAGACUCGCCUUAAAAUGAUUGGCAGCCGGCCUCCUGGUUUCGCAGCGCAGCACAUUUUUGCGCUUGCAAUCAGCAAAAGAGGACGGCAAUCCAUCAAGACUCCUUCUCACGUUUGACCUCGGAUCAGGUAGGGAUACCCGCUGAACUUAAGCAUAUCAA
rnacentral:rRNA from 1 species